AGAUUUAAAGCGUCAGAGGUCGCAGUAUAUUGCAUUAAUACUGACGUAUUGGACAGUGAUAACACCUGUUUUGCUAAUAAUUUUAUUUAAUUUAAAAUCAUGAAGACGUCUAUUUUGUUAAUUUUCAUUUGUUUUGUUGCAAGUGUAUAUUCUUUGCCGACUAUUGAAGCAGACGACCUUCAAAAUUAUCAAGACCUGAAAGAGAAUUUAGUGGAUUAUGCAAAUGGUGUCCAAGUAAUGUUGUCUAUGAACACUGUACCAUGCUCAAGAGGAAGGACCAGGGCUCCAUGGGGAAAAUGCAUACUUUGUGGAACAUACUAUAACUUUUUCCACAAAGAAGGAGAGGGCUGUCCACUGUACUGACUACAUAAAGCCGUCAUUUAUACAGUUAGAGCGCAACGAUAAUAUAAAUUUAAU